rnacentral:rRNA from 1 species
GAGGGMAAGYCUGGUGCCAGCAGCCGCGGUAAUUCCAGCUCCAGUAGCGUAUAUUAAAGUUGUUGCAGUUAAAAAGCUCGUAGUUGGAUUUGUGGUGUUUUUUUUUUUAUUUGCUUUUUUUGGUUUUUUGUUUUUCUCUAUGAGAUGAAUUGAAAACCUGGAAGCGAGGACACCAUCCUUGACAGGUUUGAAAGUGAUAUUAUAUCACCGCAAACAUUGUCAUCCUUUACUUUGAAAAAAUUGGAGUGAUUCAAGCAGGCAAGAAUUAUAAUUUUAAUUUUAAUUUAACUUUGCUUCUGCACAUGUUAGCAUGGAAUAAUGCAAGAGGACUUGGGUUUUCUCUUUCAUUGGUUUCAGGAAUCCGAGUAAUGAUUGAUAGGGACAGUUGGGGGUGCUCGUACUCGACGGCCAGAGGUGAAAUUCUUGGAUUCGUUGAAGACGAACAACUGCGAAAGCAUUCACCAAGGAUGUCUUCUUUAAUCAAGAACGAAAGUUGGGGGAUCGAAGAUGAUCAGAUACCGUCGUAGUCCCAACCAUAAACGAUGCCGACCAGGGAUCAGCGAGCGUUGAC